rnacentral:rRNA from 1 species
GACGAACGCUGGCGGCGUGCUUAACACAUGCAAGUCGAACGGAAAGGCCCUGCUUUUGUGGGGUGCUCGAGUGGCGAAAGGGUGAGUAACACGUGAGUAACCUGCCCUUGACUUUGGGAUAACUUCAGGAAACUGGGGCUAAUACCGGAUAGGAGCUCCUGCUGCAUGGUGGGGGUUGGAAAGUUUCGGCGGUUGGGGGUGGACUCGCGGCUUAUCAGCUUGUUGGUGGGGUAGUGGCUUACCAAGGCUUUGACGGGUAGCCGGCCUGAGAGGGUGACCGGCCACAUUGGGACUGAGAUACGGCCCAGACUCCUACGGGAGGCAGCAGUGGGGAAUAUUGCACAAUGGGCGGAAGCCUGAUGCAGCAACGCCGCGUGCGGGAUGACGGCCUUCGGGUUGUAAACCGCUUUCGCCUGUGACGAAGCGUGAGUGACGGUAAUGGGUAAAGAAGCACCGGCUAACUACGUG